GUGAGGAAUAUUGCGCAAUGGAGGCAACUCUGACGCAGCCAUGCUGCGUGCAGGAAGAAGGCGCUACGCGUUGUAAACUGCUUUUAACCGGGAAGAAACCCCAGGACGUGUCCUGGGUUGACGGUACCGGAGGAAUAAGCACCGGCUAACUUCGUGCCAGCAGCCGCGGUAAUACGAAGGGUGCAAGCGUUAUCCGGAUUCAUUGGGUUUAAAGGGUGCGUAGGCGGAGCGUUAAGUCAGUGGUGAAAUCAUGCAGCUUAACUGUAGACUUGCCAUUGAUACUGGCGCUCUUGAGUGCGCUUGAAGUGGGCGGAAUGUGCCGUGUAGCGGUGAAAUGCUUAGAUAUGGCACAGAACACCAAUUGCGAAGGCAGCUCACUAAGGCGAUACUGACGCUGAGGCACGAAAGCGUGGGGAUCGAACAGGAUUAGAAACCCGUGUAGUCC
rnacentral:rRNA from 1 species